rnacentral:hammerhead_ribozyme from 1 species
GCACUGCUGACGAGACCCAAGCAGGUCGAAACAGCAGUCCAGUGC